AUGCAAUGUCUCUGUGUUGUAGGUGUCCAGUGUGAUGUGGAGCUGGUGGAGUCUGGGGGAGAAGUGAUACAGCCUGGGGGAUCUGUGAGUCUCUCCUGCAAAGGUUCUGGAUUUACUUUCAGCAGCUACAGGAUUAACUGGGUCUGCCAGGCUUCAGGAAAGGGACUGGAAUGGGUUGCAGGAAUUAGCACUAGUGGAAGUACAUACUAUGCAGACUCUGUGAAAGACCGAUUCACCAUCUCCAGAGAUAAUGGCAACAGCAUGUUAUAUCUACAAAUGACUUCCCUUAAGACUGAGGACACAGCUGUGUACUACUGUGCAAGAGGCAAAGUGAGGAAAAGGAAUGUGAGACCAGAUAAAAACUUCCCCUGCCAGGAGGUGAAGUGUGAGUGA